rnacentral:rRNA from 1 species
AGUCGAGCGAACGGACGAGAAGCUUGCUUCUCUGAUGUUAGCGGCGGACGGGUGAGUAACACGUGGAUAACCUACCUAUAAGACUGGGAUAACUUCGGGAAACCGGAGCUAAUACCGGAUAAUAUUUUGAACCGCAUGGUUCACAAGUGAAAGACGGUCUUGCUGUCACUUAUAGAUGGAUCCGCGCUGCAUUAGCUAGUUGGUAAGGUAACGGCUUACCAAGGCAACGAUGCAUAGCCGACCUGAGAGGGUGAUCGGCCACACUGGAACUGAGACACGGUCCAGACUCCUACGGGAGGCAGCAGUAGGGAAUCUUCCGCAAUGGGCGAAAGCCUGACGGAGCAACGCCGCGUGAGUGAUGAAGGUCUUCGGAUCGUAAAACUCUGUUAUUAGGGAAGAACAUAUGUGUAAGUAACUGUGCACAUCUUGACGGUACCUAAUCAGAAAGCCACGGCUAACUACGUGCCAGCAGCCGCGGUAAUACGUAGGUGGCAAGCGUUAUCCGGAAUUAUUGGGCGUAAAGCGCGCGUAGGCGGUUUUUUAAGUCUGAUGUGAAAGCCCACGGCUCAACCGUGGAGGGUCAUUGGAAACUGGAAAACUUGAGUGCAGAAGAGGAAAGUGGAAUUCCAUGUGUAGCGGUGAAAUGCGCAGAGAUAUGGAGGAACACCAGUGGCGAAGGCGACUUUCUGGUCUGUA